CCUACGGGUGGCUGCAGUGAGGAAUAUUGGUCAAUGGACGGAAGUCUGAACCAGCCAAGCCGCGUGCAGGAAGACGGCUCUAUGAGUUGUAAACUGCUUUUGUACAAGGGUAAACCUGAAUACGUGUAUUCAGCUGAAAGUACCGUACGAAUAAGGAUCGGCUAACUCCGUGCCAGCAGCCGCGGUAAUACGGAGGAUCCAAGCGUUAUCUGGAUUUAUUGGGUUUAAAGGGUGCGUAGGCGGAUUGGUAAGUUAGAGGUGAAAUGUUGGGGCUUAACUCGGGAACUGCCUUUGAUACUGUCAAUCUAGAGAGUAGAUGCGGUAGGCGGAAUGUGUGGUGUAGCGGUGAAAUGCUUAGAGAUCAUGCAGAACACCGAUUGCGAAGGCAGCUCACCAAUCUAUAUCUGACGUUGAGGCACGAAAGCGUGGGGAGCAAACAGGAUUAGAUACCCUUGUAGUC
rnacentral:rRNA from 1 species